UGGGGAAUAUUGGACAAUGGGCGCAAGCCUGAUCCAGCCAUGCCGCGUGAGUGAUGACGGCCUUAGGGUUGUAAAGCUCUUUCGCCAGGGACGAUAAUGACGGUACCUGGAUAAGAAGCCCCGGCUAACUUCGUGCCAGCAGCCGCGGUAAUACGAAGGGGGCUAGCGUUGUUCGGAAUCACUGGGCGUAAAGCGCACGUAGGCGGAUCUUUAAGUCAGGGGUGAAAUCCCGAGGCUCAACCUCGGAACUGCCUUUGAUACUGGGGAUCUCGAGUUCGGGAGAGGUGAGUGGAACUGCGAGUGUAGAGGUGAAAUUCGUAGAUAUUCGCAAGAACACCAGUGGCGAAGGCGGCUCACUGGCCCGAUACUGACGCUGAGGUGCGAAAGCGUGGGGAGCAAACAGG
rnacentral:rRNA from 2 species